GGGACACGUGGUAUCCUGUCUGAAUAUGGGGGGACCAUCCUCCAAGGCUAAAUACUCCUGACUGACCGAUAGUGAACCAGUACCGUGAGGGAAAGGCGAAAAGAACCCCGGCGAGGGGAGUGAAAAAGAACCUGAAACCGUGUACGUACAAGCAGUGGGAGCACGCUUAGGCGUGUGACUGCGUACCUUUUGUAUAAUGGGUCAGCGACUUAUAUUCUGUAGCAAGGUUAACCGAAUAGGGGAGCCGAAGGGAAACCGAGUCUUAACUGGGCGUUAAGUUGCAGGGUAUAGACCCGAAACCCGGUGAUCUAGCCAUGGGCAGGUUGAAGGUUGGGUAACACUAACUGGAGGACCGAACCGACUAAUGUUGAAAAAUUAGCGGAUGACUUGUGGCUGGGGGUGAAAGGCCAAUCAAACCGGGAGAUAGCUGGUUCUCCCCGAAAGCUAUUUAGGUAGCGCCUCGUGAAUUCAUCUCCGGGGGUAGAGCACUGUUUCGGCAAGGGGGUCAUCCCGACUUACCAACCCGAUGCAAACUGCGAAUACCGGAGAAUGUUAUCACGGGAGACACACGGCGGGUGCUAACGUCCGUCGUGAAGAGGGAAACAACCCAGACCGCCAGCUAAGGUCCCAAAGUCAUGGUUAAGUGGGAAACGAUGUGGGAAGGCCCAGACAGCCAGGA
rnacentral:rRNA from 1 species